UUUUUGUGUUGUUGAGUUUCGAUCCCUCUUGCUGUGUUAGGAUCCGUGAAUCUGAGCCCUCAUGGAUACUAAUAACCAAGAGUUGAAAAGACUUGUGAAACAAAGAAAGGAACUGAGCGCAGCAAUAGAAAAGCAAGAAACGCAUCUCAACAAUCUUCACUCGUCUGCUUUCGGUCUUGCAAAUUACUACAUUGUGUUUCAAGGAGUCGUAUUAACACUUAUUUCCAAUGGUGCAAAGAAUCUCAAGCCGUCAGACCGUUGGUUCCUCUUUACUAUCUAUAUAUUAGCAGUUUUACUUAGCUUGUUUGCGUUGAUUAUAACUGGAAUCAAGUACAUUGACACUACAGGUUUUCGAGAAUUUUUGUUUUUCAGGCAAGACAGAGUGUAUGAUAAAAUAUUCGCGAUUGAUCAUAGGUACGAGGACGAGAAAGAUUCUCGAAAACCUUAAGGUCAUAAAGAACGUGAACUUCGACGUUAUAUUUACUUAGCUGUUUGCACGAUUCCGUUCAUAGGCUUUGCAGGUGUUGUUCUUGUUUGGUUGAUGGAAAUUCCUGGGCGAUCAAAGUGAGGGUUGAAUGCAUUAGGCUCUGUGAUGGUGCCAAGUGCAUGAAAAUCUCUGCAGCUAAUACUGAUACUCCAACAAGAUUCAAGCUUCUUCCAAGGGUGUAUUAUUCAAUUUCAGUGUCAUAUUUUAUUUUCCUAGUGCUUAAAUAUAUAUAUAUAUAUAUAUAUAUAUAUAUAUUGCUGGUCCUGUGAAAUGUAUUAUUCAACCCUAUAAUAAUGAUGCAUGAACUCUUUCUUCUUGUCCACGUACGUAAAUGGUCUAGUUUUGUGUUUGUUCUUGAUAUUGUAACUCUUGAGUUGCAGAAGUGAUGAAUAAAAGUUUCAUGUUGUUCUU